UUUUACAAUAAAAAAUAUCAUUGUACCAUACUCCCCAACCCUCUUUCUAUUUGUUGGAAGAUUGGUAUUGUUAUAUGUUGGAAGACUAACAUUUUGUGUAUAUGUGAAUAACAUUACAUCAGUGUACACAUGGAUAUCGUUACAGUGUUGUACACAUGGAUAUUGUUACGUAUAUAUGGAUUUAGCCUCCUUGUCCUCCCCACGCUCCAUCAUAGGAUCCACUGUAAGUUGCAUCAAUACAUAC
rnacentral:lncRNA from 1 species